rnacentral:tRNA from 4 species
GCCACCCUAGCUCAGUUGGUAGAGCGGCUGAUUCGUAAUCAGCAGGUCGCCAGUUCGAUCCUGGCGGGUGGCUCCA